AAUCUGGGUCAAGAACACCUCUGGGUCCCAUGCAGCACUCAGUGAGCAAAGGCAGUGGGCUGUGUUUUCCCUUGCAAUCCACCGAUCACCUCAUAAUGAUGCCGGGCAACAGGGAAGGACAGGAUGCCGGACCUAAAGGGCACUGCUCCGGGGUAGAGGGGGCAUGAUUACAGCAAAUAACGUCAAGUUCUCUGAAGCUCAUCAGUCCUGAGGAGAUCAGCCAGUCUCCCUGUUCCCAGUUUAAAAAUCUCUCCCUCUACCAUCCAAGGAUGUCUGACCCAGACAGAGUCUACAGUCCUCUUCCAUGAGUCUCACUUCUAGAGGGUGGAAGACCUCUCUCUGUAUGGCAUUCGGGAUAUCCACAGGGAAAGAAAGAAUGCUCCAAGCCUGCGCGAGAACUAUAGAACCCCUGGGGUGAGGCGGCCAGCUGGAGCUGGCACAUGGUCAAGGUCAGAGAAAUCUCACAGCUCCCAGAUGGACUGCAGAUGCGUGGUGCAAAAUUCCACAGGGGCGAAGCCAGCAGACUCACACCUAAUUAUGUCACAGGGAAAAGGAUCCUUCCCACUUGAGGUGGAUAUUUGAGAGCAGCCUUGCUGAGUGUUCAGAGACCCCGCCACAGACUGCUCAAAUGGCUUCGUCAACAGUGAAAGGUAAAGAGAAAGCUCAGCAGCGGAGGAUGCUGUGAGGACUGGGCUGGGACCCGAAGAAUGUAGAGGACAGGGGGACCCAGGAACGAGACCCAGCUGACAGAACACAGGAUAAGUAAAAAGGG